rnacentral:rRNA from 1 species
GACGAACGCUGGCGGCGUGCCUAAUACAUGCAAGUCGAACGCUUUGAUUUUCACCGGAGCUUGCUCCACCGAAAAUCGAAGAGUGGCGGACGGGUGAGUAACACGUGGGCAACCUGCCCAACAGAGGGGGAUAACACUUGGAAACAGGUGCUAAUACCGCAUAAUUUGUUUUUCCGCAUGGAAGAAUAAUAAAAGACGCUUCGGUGUCACUGUUGGAUGGGCCCGCGCUGCAUUAGUUAGUUGGUGGGGUAACGGCCUACCAAGACCAUGAUGCAUAGCCGACCUGAGAGGGUGAUCGGCCACACUGGGACUGAGACACGGCCCAGACUCCUACGGGAGGCAGCAGUAGGGAAUCUUCGGCAAUGGACGAAAGUCUGACCGAGCAACGCCGCGUGAGUGAAGAAGGUUUUCGGAUCGUAAAACUCUGUUGUUAGAGAAGAACAAGUGAGAGAGUUACUGUUCUCACCUUGACGGUAUCUAACCAGAAAGCCACGGCUAACUACGUGCCAGCAGCCGCGGUAAUACGUAGGUGGCAAGCGUUGUCCGGAUUUAUUGGGCGUAAAGCGAGCGCAGGCGGUUUCUUAAGUCUGAUGUGAAAGCCCUCGGCUCAACCGAGGAAGGUCAUUGGAAACUGGGGAACUUGAGUGCAGAAGAGGAGAGUGGAAUUCCAUGUGUAGCGGUGAAAUGCGUAGAUAUAUGGAGGAACACCAGUGGCGAAGGCGACUCUCUGGUCUGUAACUGACGCUGAGGCUCGAAAGCGUGGGGAGCAAACAGG